UCAAGACAGGAUUUGUUAGGGUCAAGCUUACUGCCAAGCUCCUGAUAUAGCUCCUUUCUUAACCUCGCUAGCAGAACUCAAUCUGGAAGUUGCUAGUUUGAUCCAUAUUUGAAAUUGCACAUGCCAAAUCCAAGCAAAACAAAUUAAAACCCCACGUUAUAAUUUCGUAACAUUAACAAAUUCUAGACCAAUUCAAGCUUAAAUUGCAAACUAAAUCAACAUAAAUUUCAGACCAAAUCAGUAUAAAUUCUAGACCAAAUUAGCACAAUUUCAAGACCAAAUCAGCACAAUUUCCAGACCAACUUAAGCACAAAUUCCUCACCAAUUCAAGCACAAAUUGCAGACCAAUUCAUCACAAAUUCCAUACCACUUCAAGCACAAAUUGCAGACCAACUCAAGCACAAAUUCCAGACCAAUUACAGCACAAAUUACAGACCAAUUCAGCACAAAUGCAGACCAAUUCGAGCACACAAAUUGCAUACCAACUCAAGCACAAAUUCCAGACCAAUUCAAUACAAACACAGUUAUUUCCUUAACAUUUAAUUUCAAUCGAAAAUUAAAUAAAACGGAAAUUGAUAGCUUUCAAAAUUGUCCCCAUUUUACCGUAACCUAGAAAAGCUAAAGAUCGAAGCAUUACCGGAGGCUGUGAUAACUGUGACGGUUCGUGAGUUCAUUGAGGAAUGCGCGUGAUGGCUGCCACGUUGAUGGUGACCGUGCCUGCGCGAAUGGCAGAAACUUCCAGAUUUGGGUGGGGAAGACGAGAAAACGAAGAGGGGAAUAUGAAAACGAAGAGGAAGGGAAGACGAAAACGAAGAGGACAAAACGAAUGGCAGAAAACGAAUGCGAAUUUCCCUGGUGAAACGAUGAGGGGAAGAUGAAAUCGGAGAACGAAGAGGGGAAAA
rnacentral:lncRNA from 1 species